AGUGAACGCUGGCGGUAGGCCUAACACAUGCAAGUCGAACGGCAGCACAGUAAGAGCUUGCUCUUACGGGUGGCGAGUGGCGGACGGGUGAGGAAUACAUCGGAAUCUACUUUUUCGUGGGGGAUAACGUAGGGAAACUUACGCUAAUACCGCAUCCGACCUACGGGUGAAAGCAUGGGAUCUUCGGACCUUUCGCGAUUGAAUGAGCCGAUGUCGGAUUAGCUCGUUGGCGGGGUAAAGGCCCACCAAGGCGACGAUCCGUAGCUGGUCUGAGAGGAUGGUCAGCCACACUGGAACGGGGACACGGUCCAUGCUACUACGGGAGGGAGCAGUGGGGAAUAUUGGACAAUGGGCGCAAGCCUGAUCCAGCCAUACCGCGUGGGUGAAGAAGGCCUUCGGGUUGUAAAGCCCGUUUGUUGGGAAAGAAAAGCAGCAGGUUAAUACCCCGCUGUUCUGACGGUACCCAAAGAAUAAGCACCGGCUAACUUCGUG
rnacentral:rRNA from 1 species